AAAAUUACUAUUAAAUCUUUAAUAAUUAUUAAUUUUUUAAGUAUAUUAAGAAUUUUAUUUUARUUUUAUUUAUUCUGUAAUGGUUAAAUUAGUUACUUUAAUAAUAUAAUAUUAAGUACCUUUUGUAUCAGGGUUAAUUAAUUUUUAUAAGUUAUUCUUUUUUUCCCGAAUUAAAAAGUUCAAUUAAUUUUUUAAUUUAUUUGUUWCAUUAAGUAGUUAAAUUAAUUUUUUGUAGAGAAACUCUAUUCUAUUUUUUYUAUAUCUGGUUUUCUAAGACUAAAUUAAAUUUUUUAAUUUUUAUUUUUAAUUAAUAUUUAAUAAGGGAUAAUCUUUAUUAAUUUUUAUAAUUUAUAUUUUUUUAUUUUUAAUAUUUUUUAAAUUUUAUAUUUAGUUAUUAAUAUAUUAAAAUUAUUUUAAUAUUAUUUUUUAUAAUUUAUUUUUAUAUUAGAUUUUUUUAUUUAAUUUAAUUAUAUUAUUUAUUAUGAUUUAAUUAGUAAAAUUUUAAAUAUAAAUUUAAAUGAAUUCGACAAAUUUAAUUUUCAACUGUUUAUCAAAAACAUUUUUUUUAGAUUAUAUAUUAAAAGUAUAUUCUGCCCUAUGAAUAUUUAAAUGGCUGCAGUAUUUUAACUGUACAAAGGUAGCAUAAUAAUUAGUUUUUUAAUUGAGGACUGGAAUGAAAGAUUAUAUGAGAAAUUAAUUUUAUUAAUUUUAAUUUUUAAACUUUAUUUUUAAGUAAAAAAGCUUAAUUAUAUUUUUGGGACGAAAAGACCCUAUAGAACUUUAUUUAUAUUAUUUAAAUUUAAUUUUAAAUUUUAUYUUAAUUUUUAUAGUUAAAUUUUGUUGGGGUGACAAAUAAAUUAAACUUUAUUUUAUUUAUUCAUUUAUUUAUGUUUAUUAGAUUUAAUUUUAUUUAGUUAAAAGAAAAAGUUACCUUAGGGAUAACAGCGUAAUUUUUAUGGGGAGUUCAUAUCUAUAUAAAAGUUUGCGACCUCGAUGUUGAAUUAAGAUAAUUAAAGGAAGAAGUAUUUUUUAUAAUAAGUCUGUUCGACUAUUAAAUUCUUACAUGAUUUGAGUUCAAACCGGUGUAAGCCAGGUUGGUUUCUAUCUUAUAAUUAAUUAUUUAAUUUAGUACGAAAGGACCAAUUAAUUUGUUUUUAAUAUAUUUUURCAAUUUAAUU
rnacentral:rRNA from 1 species